rnacentral:rRNA from 1 species
UACAGAGGUCCCAAGCGUUGUUCGGAUUCACUGGGCGUAAAGGGUGCGUAGGCGGUCGGGUAAGUCUGAUGUGAAAUCUCCGAGCCUAACUCGGAAACGGCAUCGGAUACUAUUCGGCUCGAGGAAUGGAGGGGAGACUGGAAUUCUCGGUGUAGCAGUGAAAUGCGUAGAUAUCGAGAGGAACACCAGUGGCGAAGGCGAGUCUCUGGACAUUUCCUGACGCUGAGGCACGAAAGCCAGGGGAGCAAAC